UUUGUGACCCUGCUGGAGUGCGGGGGGUCCUCCAGCCCCCCGGGGGGUCUCUGUCACUGCUCUGCCGCGCCUCUGGAUUAAAUUUCGAGAGUUUUGGAACAGCCUGGGUUCGUCAGAGCCCUGGGAAGGGGCUGGAAUUUGUUGCACGGGUCUUCAGCAGCGGGGACAACGCCGCUUGGCUGGAAUUUGUUGCACGGGUCUUCAGCAGCGGGGGCAACGCCGCUCAUGCGCCAUCGGUGCAGGGCGGGUUCACGAUCUCGAGAGAUAACGGGCAGAGCUCGGUGACGCUGACCGUGAACAACCUCAAGGACGAGGAUUCCGGCGCCUAUUUCUGCGUCAGGGGUGGAGGUGCUGCCGGUGCUGGUACGGGUUAUGGUGACAAUGCCGGUGGUGGCCCCAUACCCAUCUUUGAGUCCCCAGCGGUGCCCAGAUGUCCUCUCACCCUUCCCCCAACCCUCACUCCUUGACCCAGUC